ensembl:lncRNA
CGGUCACUGAAGCAGCAAGUGCUGUCUGACAAAAGUCAGCUUUAUUGUUCUGCCCUCCACAGAUGUUCACACCCCACGGCGGUUACAGCAACAACCUGCUUCCACAGGAGCCAGAGGAAACCAUAUAAGGAAUCUCUCUCUCUCUCUCUCUCUCUCCCUCUACCUCCUUUGUGUUCCCUUCGCUUACUCUCCAUUCCAUUUUUUCCUCUGGCUGAUAAGGAAACCACACCUUCACUGAGCUGAGAAAUGACAUCAUCAGCUCAUCCCAGUGCUACAAAUGCCAGACUGUGGAGAAACUCUGAGGUAUGCUGGCAUCGGUUGUCCUUAAGUGCCCUCUGCCACUGCCCCUGGGAAGAAGGGGGUGAGGGUCUACUUUUAGGGUUGGAUGGGCAUCAAUCGUCAUGGUUAUUGUGACAGACAUCCGCCCUCUUUCUAUCUCCCUCUCUGUCUACACAUCAGUAAUCUCUACCCACAGCGUGACUGGUGACGUGAAGCGUGCAGCAGCGGUCGCUUAUCUGCAGGAAAUGACCGGCCCUCAUUUUCACAACAUCCUCACCUCAUGCCUAACAUAUCUUCUUUCUUUUUUUCCCACCUCCCUCUUACUUAUUUUCAAAUAUUCCCAUGUGCAAAGCCUGCCAGUGUUGGCGUCUCCUCACUCUGUCCUGCCCUGCUCUGAACCAGGGAGCCGGUGUCCUGCUGAGUGAGGAGGAUUUUCCCAUCUGCCCCGGCUCUAAUCCCUUACAAGGUCUUGAGCGUGCAAUGGGCAGUGCAGGGAGGCGGCUGUAGCCUUAGUCUAUGCUAUAACACGGGAGGAAUGCGCUGGGAUGCAGCCAGAGACCUAACAGACACAAUAACAGCGACACAACAGACUCCUGGUCUUACUGCUGGCCUCAAGCUGGUCCCCGAGGGCCAUGGCGUCGGAUGGUUUUACUUUUGCAGGCCUCAACAGUUUCAGACUGCUUUGUGUUGUAUUCUGUAAAAAUGUACACUGUCUCACAUUGUAGUCGGUCAAAUCUGGCCUAGUCUUGCAUAAUCUCAACACAUGUUGUUUCUUCUCAUUCCUUCAUAUUAUUUAGGAACAGUUCAGUCAAUGGCAGGUACUUCCGUGUUUGCGCAGUUCACCAGGUAUUGACUGUCACACUCAUACUUACUGCUUGAAGAUUAUUCUGCCGAAUGGAAAGGACAGGAACCUAUCGGAACAUCCCAGCACUGGCUAUUGUCCAGUUAUUUUUUAAGAAGGAAAUCCUAGAACCUAGAACCAAGAAUUGUUCAGGUGGAUGUCUUUUUUUUAAUACCUUAGACUAAAACACUUAUGGGUUAUGAGCCAUUCAGGAGGGCUACACUGUGAAAUAUUAUCUUAUCCAGCAUAGUGUGUGGAUUUAAGUCGUUAGGGCUGUUACGUAUGGUUAUACUAGGAUGGAACUCUACUUCUUUGAUUUCUCUUGCUGAAUGUUUUAAAUCAUAUACUGAUAAUGAAAAUAACCACAAAUAAUUACUGACAGCACCUGCAUAAAGCUACACAGAUAAGCAAGAGGUGGAAUGUAGAGGACGUUAUCAGGAAAAAGUGCUCUCACAAAGGGGAUCUAAAUUAUGAGAGGAUUUAACUUUUCAAACACUAACCGAUUCCACUUUAUAUUCUUGUAAGUACUGAUAUGAGCGAGAGAGAGGGAGAGUAAAUGUGAGCUCUUUUCACAAAUAUGUGAAUCUGUUUCUUGUUCUCAUCAGUUCUUUAGUAAGGCUGCGUGUGUGUUUUCCUAGGCAUACCGCUGUGUGAGGGAAAGUGUGUGUGUGUGUGUGUGUGUGUGUGUGAAUGAUUUUUUUCCCCCCCACAGCCUGCUUGCAUGACCUGUUCAUUCAGGCUUAUUUAAAGGGUUGAAAUUGACAAAGGGGAAGACUUCAGCGCUACCAAAUGAAAUAAAUAAGUGCUUGUAUAAUUGGCUCUAACUUUUAGAUUCGCUCCAGAGACUUGCUGCAUCUGUUUUCGAUGUGUUAAUUUAGUCUGCUUAAAAAAACUAAAAAUAAAUACAAAACUCCUCCAUGGUCUGCUUCAUUAUGGCAAUGGUCCCACAUGGGUGUAUACAAGUGUGAAUGAUGUGAAGGGCUCCCUGAUUUCCCACAAACUGCGGGAUCCUAUCCUGAGAGUCUCCCCAGACGACCCCUCAAGCAGAGUUCAGGCUGAUAAUAAACAAUACAAUACUGAAACAUCUCAGCCGCUUAAGCAAAAGAAGGCAGGAAAGUGCCAAUACAUGGUAGACCCAGUUGGUAUGACAGUUGUGCCUCACUCUAAAUCAUAUGGUCUGUCAGUCAACCACUAUCUCUCUCACACACACACCUCAGCUAAUUUGAGUGGUUC